GCUGAACGAAUCUGUUGCUACUGGCCCAUCAUCUUUUGCCAAGAAACAGUUAGAGUUAAUGGGAUGGAAAGAAGGGGAGGGUCUGGGAAAGAAUAAACAAGGU
rnacentral:ribozyme from 1 species